AGUGCCCUGUAUGCUCAAAAUUUGUACCCUCAGAUGAAAUGGAUUUACAUCUUGUGAUGUGUUUAACAAAGCCAAGAAUAACCUAUAAUGAUCAGGUGGAAGAAGAAGGGAAAGACCGAACACUCUAGUCUCCAUCAACAAAAGCAAUAGGCAUACAUACUUGAGUUGACCUUUUUCACUUUACUUCAAUAAGGUGAUAGGGAUUAUUUCACAUUUCAGCUGCUUUUGUUUUCUACUGCUAUCAUUGAGGGUUCAAGAACAAAAAAUAAGUCUUCAGAGGAUGUCCUGAGUAAAGAUACUGGGGAAUGUGCGAUAUGCCUGGAAGAUUUGCAGCAGGGGGACACGAUAGCACGGCUGCCUU